AGUCGUCGCUUUUGUUUCUCUUACAAUUACAAUGCAAAGCAAACUAUUUUCAUCUCUUUGCCUUCCUUGACCUUCAAUGAAUUCUUAAAUUCGAGAAUAAGUAUUGUGUUAAUUACAAUAGACUCUGUAACGUUUCAGUAUUUUUUUCGUCUGAUGAUUUCGUUUUUUAUAAAUAGGAGAUGGAUGAGUGAGGCUGUGACGAUCGCUCGCAAUCAUUCUCAGUUUAAAUUUGUUCCUUCAGCUUCCAAAGAAUCUCAGAAAGAUGUCUUCCUCCGUUGCCGCCAUUGUUGCUCCAACAUCGUUCGACGGUCUCCGCCUAGAUAGAUCUACUCAAUUCGUCGUGGCUCGCCUUCUGCCAUGGGACUCCAGAAACAUUAAGAAGCAAGGUGAAUUCAUGGGAAUCACCUUGCUUUUCCUUGAUGAGCAGAAUUCUGUGAUCCAUGGAUUAAUUCCUGCUGCUCGCGGUCACUACCGUACAAGUUUACAAGUCUAAACCCACAAAAAAUGGAGGGAACUUAAUAAUAUAUUUUUAACUAAGAUUACAUUAGUGAAUAAACGAUUAUUCUCCUUUCAUCAGAAAACAUGUUCCUCCACUCCACGGCUGGCACCAAGUUUUAUUUCGGAAACAAUAUCACUGCAAUCACAGAGUUCACAAUGAGUUUAAGAGAUGCAGUAGGCGAGGACUUACCAAGUCUUAAAGCAGAAACAAUGAUCACUACCAAAGAACUUAGCCCAAUGGGAGAUCUCAGCAUGUUCCUCUCCAGCUCUUCUAGCCAGGAAGCUUAUUUUACUUGCAUGGAUUGUUGAGGUUGUUGCACAGAAUGGCUGGUACUACAUCUCUUGCACUCACUGCGGGAAAGAACAUGUGAACUCAGCCACAUCUCACCCCUGCGACCAGUGUAAUGAUAUCAAUGCCACCACUGUUGUGAGGUGCAAGGUUGAAUUAUUGGUCGAUGAUGGUAAAAAUUAUGCCACUUUCUUGGUGCUCGACAAGGAGAUGAUGAAGCUCACUAAACAAGAUGCAGCAACUCUACUUGAUGAUGAGGUGAAUCGUGGUCUAGGCAAUACACUCCCAAAAUGUAUUGCAGAACUUCAAGGCCGAGUUUUUAUUUAUCAUGUACAUGUGACGCCGUACAAUUUCACAGACAACACCCGUACCUUCACCAUUUCUGGAAUGAACUACAAGGAGAAUUUAACCAUCAAUGCAAACAAAAAAAAAGUAAAAGUGGAAUAUGGAGAAGCAUCAACUUCCGCUGCUGCCACCUACACAUCAACAAAUGAAGCGAACAAAGAUGGGCCC